GAUGAACGCUGGCGGCGUGCCUAAUACAUGCAAGUCGAGCGAAGCGGGGACGGGUGAGAAACAUGUGGAUAACCUCCCUUAUGACUGGGAUAACCUCGGGAAACCGGUGCCAAACCGGAUACUUAUCGCUGGUUCCGGGUUGCAUUAGCUAGUUGGUAAGGUAACGGCUUACCAAGGCAACGAUCCAUAGCCGACCUGAGAGGAUGAUCGGCCACACUGGAACUGAGACACGGUCCAGACUCCUACGGGAGGCAGCAGUGGGGAAUCUUCCACAAUGGGCGAAAGCCUGACGGAGCAACGCCGCGUGUGUGAUGAAGGUCUUCGGAUCGUAAAACUCUGUUAUUGGGGAAGCGGUACCUGCACAGAAAGCCCCGGCUAACUACGUGCCAGCAGCCGCGGUAAUUC
rnacentral:rRNA from 1 species